rnacentral:rRNA from 1 species
CUACGGGAGGCAGCAGUGGGGAAUAUUGCACAAUGGAGGAAACUCUGAUGCAGCAACGCCGCGUGGAGGAUGACACUUUUCGGAGCGUAAACUCCUUUUAUAUAGGAAGAAGAUGACGGUACUAUAUGAAUAAGCGCCGGCUAACUCCGUGCCAGCAGCCGCGGUAAUACGGAGGGCGCAAGCGUUACUCGGAAUCACUGGGCGUAAAGAGCGUGUAGGCGGAUUAAAAAGUCAGAAGUGAAAUCCUAUAGCUUAACUAUAGAACUGCUUCUGAAACUCUUAAUCUAGAAUAUGGGAGAGGUAGAUGGAAUUUCUGGUGUAGGGGUAAGAUCCGUAGAGAUCAGAAGGAAUACCGAUUGCGAAGGCGAUCUACUAGAACAUUAUUGACGCUGAGACGCGAAAGCGUGGGGAGCAAACAGGAUUAGAUACCCGCGUAGUC